rnacentral:rRNA from 1 species
GACGAACGCUGGCGGCGUGCUUAACACAUGCAAGUCGAACGGAGUGGCGAACGGGUGAGUAACACGUGGGUGAUCUGCCUUGCACUUCGGGAUAAGCUUGGGAAACUGGGUCUAAUACCGGAUAGUGCAAGAUGAGCUCGCGGCCUAACAGCUUGUUGGUGGGGUAAUUGCCUACCAAGGCGUCGACGGGUAGCCGGCCUGAGAGGGUGUACGGACACAUUGGGACUGAGAUACGGGCCAGUGUCCUACGGGAGGCAGCAGUGGGGAAUCUUGCACAAUGGUCGGAAGCCUGAUGCAGCUACGCCGCGUGGGGGAUGAAGGCUUUCUGGUUUUAAACUCCUUUCGACAGGGACGCGGUACCUGUAUAAGAAGCACCGGCUAACUACGUGCCAGCAGCCGCAGUAAUUC